CCUGGGCAUGAUGGCACAUGCCUGUAUUCCUGGCUACUCAGAGGCUGAGGCAAGAGGACCACUUGAGCCCAGAAGUUCUGGGCUGUGGUGCGCUAUGCUGAUCAGGUGUCUGUAUUAAGUUGGGCAUCAAUAUGGUGACCUUGCACAGUGGGGGACAACCAGGUUGCCUAAGGAGGGGUGAACUGGCCCAGGUCGGAGAAGGAGCAGGUCAAAACUCCUGUGCUGAUCAGUAGUGGAAUCACGCCUGUGAAUAGCCACUGUGCCCCAGCCUGGGCAACAUAGCGAGACCCUGUCUCUU
ensembl:misc_RNA Metazoa_SRP Metazoan signal recognition particle RNA